rnacentral:rRNA from 1 species
ACCUGCGGAGGGAUCAUUACUGAGUUACCGCUCUAUAACCCUUUGUGAACGUACCUAACCGUUGCUUCGGCGGGCAGGGGAAGCCUCUCGCGGGCCUCCCCUCCCGGCGCCGGCCCCCACCACGGGGACGGGGCGCCCGCCGGAGGAAACCAAACUCUAUUUACACGACGUCUCUUCUGAGUGGCACAAGCAAAUAAUAAAACUUUUAACAACGGAUCUCUUGGUUCUGGCAUCGAUGAAGAACGCAGCGAAAUGCGAUAAGUAAUGUGAAUUGCAGAAUUCAGUGAAUCAUCGAAUCUUUGAACGCACAUUGCGCUCGCCAGCAUUCUGGCGAGCAUGCCUGUUCGAGCGUCAUUUCAACCCUCAAGCACCGCUUGGUUUUGGGGCCCCACGGCCGACGUGGGCCCUUAAAGGUAGUGGCGGACCCUCCCGGAGCCUCCUUUGCGUAGUAACUAACGUCUCGCACUGGGAUCCGGAGGGACUCUUGCCGUUAAACCCCCAAAUUCUUUACAGGUUGACCUCGGAUCAGGUAGGAAUA